CAACCUCAACUCAUAUGGGACUACCCCCUGAAUUUAAGCAUAUUAAUUAGGGGAGGAAAAGAAACUAACAAGGAUUUUCUUAGUAGCGGCGAGCGAAAAGAAAUCAGUUCAGCACUAAGUCACUUUGUCUAUAUGGCAAAUGUGAGAUGCAGUGUACGGAACAUCAACAUUCUAGUAUGAGAAGUUAACGAUUUAAGUCCUUCUUAAAUGAGGCCAUUUACCCAUAGAGGGUGCCAGGCCCGUAUAACGUUAAUGAUUACUAGAUGGUGUUUCCAAAGAGUCGUGUUGCUUGAUAGUGCAGCACUAAGUGGGUGGUAAACUCCAUCUAAAACUAAAUAUAACCAUGAGACCGAUAGUAAACAAGUACCGUGAGGGAAAGUUGAAAAGAACUCUGAAUAGAGAGUUAAAUAGUACGUGAAACUGCUUAGAGGUUAAGCCCGAUGAACCUGAAUAUCCGUUAUGGAAAAUUCAUCAUUAGAAUUGUAAUAUUUUAAACAAUAUUAUAAUAAUAGUGUGCAUUUUUUCCAUAUAAGGACAUUGUAAUCUAUUAGCAUAAAUAUUUAUCAUAAAAUUAUGUCUGAUUGCUUAUUUGAAUUAUAUGCUUGGCAUUUUAACAUAAAAUAAAAGAUAUAAAUUUGAUAAAGUGCUGAUAGAUUUAUAUGAUUACAGUGCGUUAAUUUUUCGGAAUUAUAUAAUGGCAUAAUUAUCAUUGAUAUUUGUGUUUAUUAUAUGCAUUUGUAUGAUUAACAAUGCCAAAGAUUCAACGAUACCUUCUGGACCCGUCUUGAAACACCGACCACGGAGUCUAACAUAUGUGCAAGUUAUUGGGAUAUAAACCUAAUAGCGUAAUUUACUUGGACUAUUAAUGGGAUUAGUUUUUUAACUAUUUAUAGUUAAUUAACGCUAUCCCGGGGCGCUCUAUAUAGUUAUGUAUAAUAAUAUUUAUAUUAUUUAUGCCUCGAA
rnacentral:ncRNA from 1 species